UUUGUUUUUUAAUAGUUGUCGCCAAUUAUUAUAAAUAUUUUUUAAUUUAUCUUUGCAUUUGUGAGUAUCUCUAAUAGGAAUUCUUGCCUUCUUCCAAAAAACUAUACACUCGUCAACAACAAGACGGGCACUAUCAUUCAAAUUUAAUUUAGAGAUCCUCAUAUUAAAAAAUAAAACUCGUAAACAGUCACCAAUUGACGGUAAUUUCGAACCAGUUAUUUGAUGUUUCAUAUUACCAAGAAGAAAAAUUUGUUCACGAUUAGGCAUUUUUAAGAAUAUACGUGAAUGAUAUGAUAUAUAUUAAAUAUGUAAAUAAAUGCACUUUUCAA